rnacentral:rRNA from 1 species
GGUGAACGCUGGCGGCGUGCUUAAGACAUGCAAGUCGAACGGCAGUCUUCGGACUGUAGUGGCGCACGGGUGAGUAACGCGUAACUGACCUACCCCAAAGUCGCGGAUAACGAUUCGAAAGAAUCGCUAAUACGUGAUGUGCUGUCAGAUUGUGUUCUGCCAGUAAAGAUUGAUUGCUUUGGGAUGGGGUUGCGUUCCAUCAGCUAGUUGGUGGGGUAAAGGCCCACCAAGGCGACGACGGAUAGCCGGCCUGAGAGGGUGGCCGGCCACAGGGGCACUGAGACACGGGUCCCACUCCUACGGGAGGCAGCAGUUAGGAAUCUUCCACAAUGGGCGAAAGCCUGUUGGAGCGACGCCGCGUGAGGGAUGAAGGUCUUCGGAUCGUAAACCUCUGAAUCAGGGACGAAAGACACUUCGGUGGGAUGACGGUACCUGAGUAAUAGCACCGGCUAACUCCGUGCCAGCCGCCGCCGUAAGAC